rnacentral:tRNA from 1 species
GCCUUGAUGGUGAAAUGGUAGACACGCGAGACUCAAAAUCUCGUGCUGAAGAGCGUGGAGGUUCGAGUCCUCUUCGAGGCA